GGCUACAGGCUUAACACAUGCAAGUCGAGGGGCAGCAUGGUCUUAGCUUGCUAAGGCCGAUGGCGACCGGCGCACGGGUGAGUAACACGUAUCCAACCUGCCGUCUACUCUUGGACAGCCUUCUGAAAGGAAGAUUAAUACAAGAUGGCAUCAUGAGUCCGCAUGUUCACAUGAUUAAAGGUAUUCCGGUAGACGAUGGGGAUGCGUUCCAUUAGAUAGUAGGCGGGGUAACGGCCCACCUAGUCUUCGAUGGAUAGGGGUUCUGAGAGGAAGGUCCCCCACAUUGGAACUGAGACACGGUCCAAACUCCUACGGGAGGCAGCAGUGAGGAAUAUUGGUCAAUGGGCGAGAGCCUGAACCAGCCAAGUAGCGUGAAGGAUGACUGCCCUGUGGGUUGCAAACUUCUUUUAUAAAGGAAUAAAGUCGGGUAUGGAUACCCGUUUGCAUGUACUUUAUGAAUAAGGAUCGGCUAACUCCGUGCCAGCAGCCGCGGUAAUACGGAGGAUCCGAGCGUUAUCCGGAUUUAUUGGGUUUAAAGGGAGCGUAGAUGGAUGUUUAAGUCAGUUGUGAAAGUUUGCGGCUCAACCGUAAAAUUGCAGUUGAUACUGGAUAUCUUGAGUGCAGUUGAGGCAGGCGGAAUUCGUGGCGUAGCGGUGAAAUGCUUAGAUAUCACGAAGAACUCCGAUUGCGAAGGCAGCCUGCUAAGCUGCAACUGACAUUGAGGCUCGAAAGUGUGGGUAUCAAACAGGAUUAGAUACCCUGGUAGUCCACACGGUAAACGAUGAAUACUCGCUGUUUGCGAUAUACUGCAAGCGGCCAAGCGAAAGCGUUAAGUAUUCCACCUGGGGAGUACGCCGGCAACGGUGAAACUCAAAGGAAUUGACGGGGGCCCGCACAAGCGGAGGAACAUGUGGUUUAAUUCGAUGAUACGCGAGGAACCUUACCCGGGCUUAAAUUGCAGAUGAAUUACGGUGAAAGCCGUAAGCCGCAAGGCAUCUGUGAAGGUGCUGCAUGGUUGUCGUCAGCUCGUGCCGUGAGGUGUCGGCUUAAGUGCCAUAACGAGCGCAACCCUUGUUGUCAGUUACUAACAGGUUCCGCUGAGGACUCUGACAAGACUGCCAUCGUAAGAUGUGAGGAAGGUGGGGAUGACGUCAAAUCAGCACGGCCCUUACGUCCGGGGCUACACACGUGUUACAAUGGGGGGUACAGAGGGCCGCUACCACGCGAGUGGAUGCCAAUCCCCAAAACCUCUCUCAGUUCGGACUGGAGUCUGCAACCCGACUCCACGAAGCUGGAUUCGCUAGUAAUCGCGCAUCAGCCACGGCGCGGUGAAUACGUUCCCGGGCCUUGUACACACCGCCCGUCAAGCCAUGGGAGCCGGGGGUACCUGAAGUGCGUAACCGCGAGGAGCGCCCUAGGGUAAAACUGGUGACUGGGGCUAAGUCAUAACA
rnacentral:rRNA from 1 species